rnacentral:rRNA from 1 species
GAUUAACGCUGGCGGCGUGCAUAACACAUGCAAGUCGAACGAUGAAACUCAUUAGAUUUCUUCGGAAUGAAAAUGAAUGGAUUAGUGGCGAACGGGUGAGUAACGCGUGAGUAACCUGCCUUACACAAGGGGAUAGCCUCUGGAAACGGAGAAUAAUACCCUAUGAAACCAGACAAUCGCAUGAUAAUCUGGUCAAAAUGUUUAGUGGUGUAAGAUGGACUUGCGUCUGAUUAGCUAGUUGGUGAGAUAAAAGCUCACCAAGGCAACGAUCAGUAGCCGGCUUGAGAGAGUGUACGGCAACAUUGGGACUGAGACACGGCCCAGACUCCUACGGGAGGCAGCAGUGGGGAAUUUUGCACAAUGGGGGAAACCCUGAUGCAGCGACGCCGCGUGAUUUAGAAGGCCUUCGGGUUGUAAAAAUCUUUUGUAUAGGAAGAAAAUGACAGUACUAUACGAAUAAGGGCCGGCUAAUUACGUG